UUUUUUAUCGACUAACUGCCCCCACUUCUAUCUUCAUCCACAACUGCUCAAAUCUCUCUAAAUGUUUCUUCCAAAAAUUUUGUUCUCAGUACAGAAUAAAUGACCAAAACGGUUUAGGGAUUUCAAACUCAUGGAAGAUCGUCUCGAUAUAUCCCAAGUCUCCCCAAGCUUUGUUAUGUAAUAGGUCAACAAUAUAUCCCGACCACCGAUCGUUUUGUAUGCUUCCAAAUCCAUUUCUCAGUUCCUUCAUGAAGGUUUUGAUAAUUAAGUAAGGGGUUAGCUGAAACUACAAAACUUGGGAUGUGAUUCACAUUACUACCUCUGAAAGAUGACAGAACUACAUAUGCAUCCUUUUUCGCAUAAGCAGGGGUAAGUUGCCAUUAAUAUAUGAUUUGCCUAACAUUUAUUUGAAUGCAAAAUCUCAGCUGGCUUAAGGUGCCCAACAUUCAUUAUUUAAAGACGGGAAAGAUUCAUGAAUGUUUCUAGCUACUGUACGGUACAGUCAUAAGAAGCAUGCUCUACAUCUUUUGGGUUUCCGCCACGGGAGGUGAGGCAUUUAUCCAUCAAAAGGAACGUUGUUCGUUGUCGUUGUAGGAAUUUCUUUGGCAAUGCUCUCAUUCCUUACAAAGGAUUUACUGAUGCACAUGCCCUUUGGAUGCCACCUACAUACCUAUGGUGGAGUUUCAUCAAAGACAGUGCCAAGUUGACUUCAAACUUCAUAAAUAAGUGCACGGAGAAAUUAAAAAUGACGGAAGUGCAGUGCUGUGCGACAACAGGAGUAAGAUAUCUAGCAUUGGUUUUACUUUUAUUGAUAAGACAGUCUGCGCAAGAUUCAAUUGCAAUGCAAGGACCACUCUGGAUGGAUUGAUAACGCGGCUGAUAGCACUUCUAUCUUUGACAAGACAGCAAGGGACUUGAAGAUUUACAGUGGACAUCGAAGACAAACAGUGUAGGAAGAAACUAAAAAAUGCUGGAAGUAGACUCUGACAACAAAAUUUUUGAUAUCUAAAACCAUAUUUUUUUACUUCCGUUGUUUAAAUAACUUACAGUGGCUAAUCAUUAUCCUUCUUUUGAGGAUGUCAAUGGUGAACGCUUAUAUGCCUGAAAACUCUGUUUGUAAACUUUAAUGCUAGAUGGAUCUCACUCUCCACUAGCUAAUAGUUAUCAAGGCUUUCCAGUUCCAAAAAUAAAAUUGGACAUUUCCCUUCCUA